GCUUGGGAGUCAGACAGUGUCAGAUAAAUGUCAUUGUCAAAAGGGAAACAGCCCAGAUCUACAGCUAAGGUCCCAAAGUCAGGUUAAGUGGAAAACGAUGUGAAGAUACGCAGACAACCAGGAUGUUGGCUCAGAAGCAGCCACUCAUUCAAAGAGUGCGUAAUAGCUCACUGGUCGAGCGUCUUUGCGCGGAGAAUUUAACGGGGCUAAACCUGACACCGAAGCUUAGGCAAUACAGCAAUGUAUUGGGUAGGGGAGCGUUGUAUACGCGGUGAAACAGUAGCGCAAGCGGCUGUGGAGUGUAUAGAAGUGAGAAUGCCGGAAUGAGUAGCGCGAAUGCAGUGAGAAUCUGCAUGGCCGAAAGCCUCAGGUUUUUGGAGGAAGGUUCGUCCGCUCCAAGUUAGUCGGGAGCUAAGGUGAGGCCGAAAGGCGUAGCCGAUGCACAGACGGUAGAGAUUCCGUCACCACCAAAAGAGUUAAGCACAGGGACACAUUUGAAGUCUCAGAGCCGGGUGUUGGUUCCGGUAGAGAUCGAGGGAAGUUAGUACCGAAGUCUGGGAUGGAAGAUGGCGAGAAAAGCUGUGUGGAUUUCUGAGGUGCCCGUACCGCAAACCGACACAGGUAGGUAGGAAGAAGAUUCUAAGGCCAACGGGAGAAGGGUUGUUAAGGAACUCGGCAAAUUGACCCCGUAACUUCGGGAGAAGGGGUGCUCCAGAGAUGGAGCCGCAGAGAAUCGGCCCAAGCAACUGUUUACCAAAAACACAGGUUUGUGCUAAAUCGAAAGAUGACGUAUACGAGCUGACGCCUGCCCGGUGCUGGAAGGUUAAGAGGAGAUGUGCAAGCAUUGAAUCGAAGCCCCAGUGAACGGCGGCCGUAACUAUAACGGUCCUAAGGUAGCGAAAUUCCUUGUCAGGUAAGUUCUGACCCGCAUGAAAGGCGUAAUGAUUUGGGCACUGUCUCAACAGCCCGCCCGGCGAAAUUGUAGUACCGGUGAAGAUGCCGGUUACCCGCGACAAGACGGAAAGACCCCAUGGAGCUUUACUGUAGCCUAAUAUUGGGUUUCGAUGUUGCAUGCACAGGAUAGAUGGGACUCUGGGAAACCAGUGCUUUGGCGCUGGCGGAGAGGCCGUUGGGAUACCAUCCUUGCGAUAUUGGAAUUCUAACCUGCGGCUCUGAAUCGAGUCGGGGGACAUUGUUAGGUGGGCAGUUUGACUGGGGCGGUCGCCUCCUAAAGAGUAACGGAGGCGUUCAAAGGUUCGCUCAGCUUGAACGGAAAUCAAGCAAAAGAGUGCAAACGCAGAAGCGAGCCUAACUGCGAGACUGACGGGUCGAGCAGUAACGAAAGUUGGAGUUAGUGAUCCGGUGGUAUGUGAGUGGAAAUGCCAUCGCUCAACGGAUAAAAGUUACCCUGGGGAUAACAGGCUGAUCUCCCCCAAGAGUCCACAUCGACGGGGAGGUUUGGCACCUCGAUGUCGGCUCAUC
rnacentral:rRNA from 1 species